rnacentral:tRNA from 1 species
GCCUGGGUGGCUCAGGUGAGCAUCUGACUUCAGCUCAGGUUAUGAUCUCACGGUUCGUGAGUUCGAGCCCCACCUCGGGCU